rnacentral:lncRNA from 1 species
GUGGUACAUGAGCUGACCUGACCCCCAAGGCUCUUGGAUAAAGGAGAGGAGGCAGGCGUUGGCUUGAAGGCCAUGUAUUCAUGGCAGCUGGUCCCGGCACUUGGGUCCGCAGAGCUGCUGCAGGUUAAAGUUCAGCAUGGCUGCUAAUCGGGGACCAAGCUCCUAGGAAAUGAAGGACAACAGGACGGUCCAAGCUGCUGCAAAGUCCAGGCCCAGAAGCUCCUACCCCAGUGGGAAUGGGCUGCUCAAUCUGCAAAGCACCCCUGAAUUGUGCUGAGCUGCAGCACAAAGCUAGAGAAAGCAUUGGAAUCAAACAUCUCCCCCGCCAUUGAUCUGAAAACCCCUAUAAUGGAGUGGUCUGAUUGCAUAGAGAUGAACGCCCACAGAAGUCUUCUGGAAAGAGACACUUUCUCUUAGAGCAUCACUCCAAAGUCACUGAGAAGCAGGGAGAGGACAGAGGCCCUCGCUGUCCUGUCACUGUGGCUGGGAAGCCUCAUGUCCACAUUUCCCCAUAAACUUCUCAAGUCCCCAACAGUCAGGCACGUGUUGUUCUAAUCUACUUACUGAAGAGAGAGAAGACGGUGACAUUUGUCAACGGCGUACGUCUUGCCACUGUGAUGAAUUAAACUGACAGAAUAUUAAGGACAAAUAGCCCUCAAGAGUCGGCAGGCCAACAGUACCUGCUGCAGCUGGGACAAACAUGGCUUCUGAGCUCAGAGACAGCUGCUGUAGACCAGACAUUAAAUACUGACCAGCAAAAAGAUUCCUUAAAAAAAAA